rnacentral:rRNA from 1 species
GGCCCCCCGUGUAAUAAUCGAAGAUGGGGGGUCUGGCCUGCCCGGUGACGUGGUGUUAAACGGCUGCGGUAUCCUGACCGUGCAAAGGUAGCAUAAUAAUUUGCUCAUUAACUGUGGGCUAGUAUGAAUGGUUGGACGAGGGCGGAGCUGUCUCUUAGUGGGGUAUGUGGAAUUUAAUUUUUAGGUGAAGAGGCCUAAAUACAAUUAAGGGACGAGAAGACCCUGUCGAGCUUUAGUUAAAUUUUAAGGAGGAAUAGGAGUAGUUUACAUUUUAUUGUUAUUGAAUGGAAUCUUUGGUUGGGGCGAUCAGAAAGUAUAAGGAACCUUUCAUUAAGCUGGUGGUUGGUGGAUAAAAGAUCUGGUGUAUUUGUGCAGAUGUAAAGAAUAAGUUACCGCAGGGAUAACAGCGUAAUCUUUUUGGAGAGUUCUUAUUGAGAAAAGGGUUUGCGACCUCGAUGUUGGACUAAGAUAACCAAAUGGUGUAGCAGCUAUUAAGGGUUGUUCUGUUCGACCAUUGAAAUCUUACA